AUUGAACGCUGGCGGCAUGCUUUACACAUGCAAGUCGAACGGCAGCGCGGGCUUCGGCCUGGCGGCGAGUGGCGAACGGGUGAGUAAUACAUCGGAACGUGCCCAGUAGUGGGGGAUAGCUCGGCGAAAGCCGGAUUAAUACCGCAUACGACCUGAGGGUGAAAGCGGGGGAUCUUCGGACCUCGCGCUAUUGGAGCGGCCGAUGGCAGUUUAGCUAGUUGGUGGGGUAAAGGCCUACCAAGGCGACGAUCUGUAGCUGGUCUGAGAGGACGACCAGCCACACUGGGACUGAGACACGGCCCAGACUCCUACGGGAGGCAGCAGUGGGGAAUUUUAGACAAUGGGCGAAAGCCUGAUCCAGCAAUGCCGCGUGUGUGAUGAAGGCCUUCGGGUUGUAAAGCACUUUUGGCGGGAACGAAAAGGACUGUGCCAAUACCACGGUUCGAUGACGGUACCCGCAGAAUAAGCACCGGCUAACUACGUG
rnacentral:rRNA from 1 species